rnacentral:rRNA from 1 species
GGAAUAUUGGACAAUGGGCGAAAGCCUGAUCCAGCCAUGCCGCGUGUGUGAAGAAGGUCUUCGGAUUGUAAAGCACUUUAAGUUGGGAGGAAGGGCCAUUACCUAAUACGUGAUGGUUUUGACGUUACCGACAGAAUAAGCACCGGCUAACUCUGUGCCAGCAGCCGCGGUAAUACAGAGGGUGCAAGCGUUAAUCGGAAUUACUGGGCGUAAAGCGCGCGUAGGUGGUUUGUUAAGUUGGAUGUGAAAUCCCCGGGCUCAACCUGGGAACUGCAUUCAAAACUGACUGACUAGAGUAUGGUAGAGGGUGGUGGAAUUUCCUGUGUAGCGGUGAAAUGCGUAGAUAUAGGAAGGAACACCAGUGGCGAAGGCGACCACCUGGACUGAUACUGACACUGAGGUGCGAAAGCGUGGGGAGCAAACAGGAUUAGAUACCCGAG